rnacentral:rRNA from 1 species
UGGGCAACCUGCCCCUGGCUCUGGGAUAACUCCGGGAAACCGGAGCUAAUACCGGAUACGAGACCGAUUGGCAUCAAUACGGUCUGGAAAGUUUUUCGGCCAGGGAUGGGCUCGCGGCCUAUCAGCUUGUUGGUGGGGUAAUGGCCCACCAAGGCGACGACGGGUAGCCGGCCUGAGAGGGCGACCGGCCACACUGGGACUGAGACACGGCCCAGACUCCGUACGGGAGCA